rnacentral:rRNA from 1 species
AGCGUAGACGGAUGGACAAGUCUGAUGUGAAAGGCUGGGGCUCAACCCCCGGGGACUGCAUUGGAAACUGCCCGUCUUGAGUGCCGGAGAGGUAAGCGGAAUUCCUAGUGUAGCGGUGAAAUGCGUAGAUAUUAGGAGGAACACCAGUGGCGAAGGCGGCUUACUGGACGGUAACUGACGUUGAGGCUCGAAAGCGUGGGGAGCAAACA